UACGUAGGGUGCAAGCGUUAAUCGGAAUUACUGGGCGUAAAGCGUGCGCAGGCGGUUUUGUAAGUCUGUCGUGAAAGCCCCGGGCUCAACCUGGGAAUUGCGAUGGAGACUGCAAGGCUUGAAUCUGGCAGAGGGGGGUAGAAUUCCACGUGUAGCAGUGAAAUGCGUAGAGAUGUGGAGGAACACCGAUGGCGAAGGCAGCCCCCUGGGUCAAGAUUGACGCUCAUGCACGAAAGCGUGGGGAGCAAAAAGG
rnacentral:rRNA from 1 species